CAGAAAAAGCGUUCUUAUUUUACACUGGGACGACGGAUCCUUCUUUCUUUUCCUUUUUAUUAUUAUUAUUAAUUCAACAAACACGGCACCAUUAAUUAAUUUCUCUGAGUCUAUGUAGCUCCCUCCACCAUUAAGAGGAAGAAGAUCACACUUCUUAAUUCUCUCGCUUGAUAACCAUGAUUCUUCGUUAAACAAAUACUCACUACUUGUUUUAAUUUCCUAGAGCUACUUCAGCUUCAUACUUCUUUCCUCUGCGAAUCGGAGGACGAGUUCAGUUGAGUUGACUCGCUGAGCUGCGACUACUUGACUCGUUCCAGCCUCGUCUUCUUUUCUUCUUCUUCUUCUUCUUCUUCUUCUUCUUCUUCCUCGAAGUGAACGAUUUCGGUGAAACGCUGUCGUUUUAGGUGUUGCUGAUCUCCAUUUUAUUUUAUUUUAUUCUGUUUUGGGAGUACUACAGUCCUUCGGUGUAAUCAUGAGCAAGGUGCAUCUUCUCGAAAUCGAACCCAAGGAACUCAAGUUCAUAUUUGAAUUGAAGAAGCAAAGUUCAUGCUCGGUUCAGUUGACUAAUAUCACCAACCACUGUGUUGCUUUCAAGGUCAAGACAACUUCCCCUAAGAAAUAUUCAGUGCGGCCUAAUGUUGGUGUUCUUUCACCUAAAGCUACUUGUGAAUUCAUUGUUACAAUGCAAGCUCAACGGUCAGCACCUUUAGAUAUGGAGUGCAGGGACAAGUUCUUAAUCCAAAGCACAAUGGUUUCUUCUGAAACAACUAGUGAUGAUGUUACUUCCAGCUUGUUUGUCAAAGAUGGAAGCAGAUACAUUGAAGAAAAUAAACUGAAAGUAUCCCUGACCAGCAAACCCAAUUCACCAGAAUUCUUUCCUAUUACUGGAGACUUCAAGAAUGGGCUUGAUCAUGAAAAGUUUCAGAAACAUACUACCGAUGAAAUCCAAUCGCCAGAACCCAUGGCUCUUAAGAAUCCAGAUCAUCACAUUUUCAAAGAGUUACUAAAGCUUGAAGAGGAUCAGGAUUUCAAGCCAACACAGCAUAUAGAGGUGAAAACUAUGAAGGAUGUAGAGAUGCCAGAAGAAUCAGCAGUAUUAAAAGUGUCAAAAGAUGAGAAGCUGAACAUGGUCAAGGAUGUAGAGGGAAUGAAGCCAGAGAAAGCAGAAUUAAAGGUGUCAAAAGCUCUGGAUUUAAACAAAAUAAACAAUAUAGAGGAACCAAAGCUAGAAAAGGAAGCACGGUUAUUGUCAAAGGAUCAGGAGUUGAAACCUGUAAUGGAUGUAGAGGAACUGAAGCCAGAAAAAGAAUCCGAGCUAAAACUGUCAAAAGAUUUGGAGUUGGAAACAGUAAAGAAUGUAAAGGAAUUGAAGCCAGAAAAAGAAUCAGAGUUAAAAGUUGUGAAGGGAAUAGAGGAGCUGAAAUUAAUGAAAGCUAUUGAAGAGAUGAAGCUAAAACUAGAUGGACUUGAGUCAAAACUAAAUGAGUCUGCAGUAACAAUAUCAAAGUUAACAGAGGAGAGGAGGCUAAACUAUCAAGAAACAAAAAUCUUGCAAGAAAAGCUGGCAGAGGUUACCAAGAGAGGUCCAAGAAAGGUUCAAGUCGGGUUUCCAUUUCUCUAUGUCUGUAUGGUGGCGCUUGUCUGUGUGUUCUUGGGAUACCACCUUGACUGUUGACACCAUAAUAUGCAGGAAACAACUAACAUUUAGAGUUUGCUUCAAGACAUGUUUGAUAAUAGCGCAGAAGUUUAGGCAUAAACCCUCAUUAUAUCGAUAAAUUUCAUAGGAUCUUUAUACUUGAGGGUCAGUGAUGUUUGAUCUGAUCUGAUCUGUGUAGUCUACAAUCAUGUAUUUUUCCGCUUUUGUAUAUGGAAAACUGCCAUGAUGAACAAGCUUGUAAAGGUAAAUUCUGGCUGAAACUGAGAAGCUUUGGAAAAGUCUGAUUCAGAAACAGAGAAAGGACUACAGAUGCUGUCAGAUUCUGACCUCCAUGCACUCAAAGGAGCAUUUCUAGAGUUACAGAAGUCCAAAUGGCACACUCUUAACAACUAUGGAAAGCUAACAUCUAGGUCUUUCCAGAAAUAUAUAGUAGUCCAUACUUUGCUCUAGAAAUAAAGGCCCAAAACUGUCGUUCAAUGCCAGCUCACAACCUCAUUCCUAGCGUUGGAUGCACGAAAGGGAUCAGCUGGCGCCCAACUCCCAAAAAAGAGUCCAAAGUUGGCGUCCAACGCCCCAGAGGGAGUACCACUCAUGGCUUCACCCCAAGCUUAGCCCAAACAUUCAACUCAAGUGGGCCCAAGGAUGGAGUUUGUACCUCUAGUCUAGUCUAUCAUACUUUUGUAUUUCUUAGUUAUUAGAUUAGUAUAUAUAGAACAAGGAUCACCCUUGUUCAGAACUUUUAUGCCAAAUUUUCAAAUGCAUUACUACUUUCUGUAAGCUAUGAGUCACUAACCUCCUAGGUUAAGGUUAGGAGCUCUGCUGAUUCUUAGGAGAUUAGAGUUUAGACAUUUAUAGUUUGCCAUAGAAUGAAUCAUGCAUUGUUAAAAUAGUUGGU